rnacentral:rRNA from 1 species
CCUACGGGAGGCAGCAGUGGGGAAUUUUGGACAAUGGGCGAAAGCCUGAUCCAGCAAUGCCGCGUGAGUGAAGAAGGCCUUCGGGUUGUAAAGCUCUUUUGUCAGGGAAGAAACGGUGAGAGCUAAUAUCUCUUGCUAAUGACGGUACCUGAAGAAUAAGCACCGGCUAACUACGUGCCAGCAGCCGCGGUAAUACGUAGGGUGCAAGCGUUAAUCGGAAUUACUGGGCGUAAAGCGUGCGCAGGCGGUUUUGUAAGUCUGAUGUGAAAUCCCCGGGCUCAACCUGGGAAUUGCAUUGGAGACUGCAAGGCUAGAAUCUGGCAGAGGGGGGUAGAAUUCCACGUGUAGCAGUGAAAUGCGUAGAUAUGUGGAGGAACACCGAUGGCGAAGGCAGCCCCCUGGGUCAAGAUUGACGCUCAUGCACGAAAGCGUGGGGAGCAAACAGGAUUAGAUACCCUGGUAGUCCACGCCCUAAACGAUGUCUACUAGUUGUCGGGUCUUAAUUGACUUGGUAACGCAGCUAACGCGUGAAGUAGACCGCCUGGGGAGUACGGUCGCAAGNUUAAAACGUUAAAGAUUAGUACGGCGUGAGACGAGACGACGGACGACGACGAGGAGGAGGAG